rnacentral:misc_RNA from 1 species
AAGAAUUCAAAGAAAAUUUAGCUAAAAGCUAGCUAAACUAACCAGAAUUUCUAAGAUAUGGACAUAGAUGGAAUGGCGGACCUAGCUAUGAAUAGGGAGUAGGCCUGACCACCGGUUUGGUAUGAACCGAUUCUGGCCACAAAAGAUAGUUAUUAACUAGAACUGGAACAAUAAGCCACGACUCCAGCUAGUUUCAGUUCCUAGUCAUUUUCUGUCAAGCUCAAUACCAGUUACGAUUCUUAUUUUUGAAGGUUCUAGUUCUGCUUUGAAUGUCCAUAUGGCAACCUCUAAUGGACACAUCACAUCGGCCAGAGUGAUGAGCAUUGGACUCAUCAUAUCAGCAAACAUCAACUUGCCUUCAUAUCUUCACCAACUAUAGGACAUGCAACUCGAAAUAUAGGUAUAUUAAAAGAUGUAACAUUAUAUGCUCCCUUUUCAUAAGAAAGGCACAUUCAAACAAAGUGCAUAGCGCAUUUGGUAAAUUAAAAUGUUGCUCAUGCAUUUAGCUCAAAACAAAACAUUUACUACAUUACAUCAUAUCAGUUAUUGGUAUGCUCCAGUAUGUAUUAUUUAUACCAAAGAUGAUUGCAAAAGAGGGGGAUCUGCGGGGAGUGGAUGGAGCCCUACUUACAAUGAUCUACAAUGCAGACUGGAAAAUCAUCUCUGCAAGUUCCUGCUUAGCCGAUGCAACCUUUGGUUCACCCCAUUCAAAGGCCUUCUUCUCAAGCAUUUCAAAAUCAACCUUACCAGCCUCUAUUUGUCUGCCAAUUUCUGAGUCAAAACUCUCAUAGCGCUUGCUAACAAGCUCAGCCAAAGAACCAUCCUCAAUCAACUUAGCUGCAUUUCGUAGUCCCCGAGCCAAUGUAUCCAUUCCACCAAUAUGAGCAAUGAACAGGUCCUCCACAUCUGUACUCUCUCUUCGCAAUUUUGCAUCAAAAUUGAAUCCUCCUGGUGCCAAUCCUCCAUUUUUUAUCACACUAAGCAUAACCAUAGUUGCCUCGGCAAUAUCCGUCAUGAAUUGAUCUGUAUCCCACCCAAUCUGAGGGUCACCAGUAUUAGCAUCAAUAUUUCCCAGUAAACCAUUGAUUCUUGCAGUUUCAAGCUCAUGAUGACAGCUGUGACCAGAAAGAGUGGCAUGGUUGCACUCAAUAUUGAGCUUGAAUUCUCCUACAAAAGGAAAGAAGGGCAAUGAGUUUAACUAUCAGCCAUCAGAUCAGACUCACUAAAUAGAAAGCACUGUCAAGUAACAGACUUAAAACUCCACUAAAAUGGAGAACAGUGAAAUCCAUCUUCGAAGUUGAUGAUUAAAGAUUAUAGAGCAUCGAGCUAAUUUGGAGUGCCAAAGUAAGAGUUUUAAACUGCCCAGGCACCAUGCAAAAUAGAAAGGUGCUGUUACUUAAAAUAUCUACAAGCCCAGGGUUAUGCUUAUAUUUUUCCAAUGAAGCCUCCCCAUGGAGAAAUUUUAUGAAGCCAGGGGGCUUCUUUUAGGAAAAACCACGUGUGAAGAUUUUAAUGAGAUCCCAUGCAACAUCAUUGAGUUUCCUUUACUUGAUCGAACAACUCAAAUUUCAGGUAUUUCAACGACAUUAAAUGAUCUUUCAAAUUGGUCAAGACUCUCCAGUUUAUGGCCACUUCUCUAUGGUACCAGUUGUUGCUUCAUUGAAUUUGCUUCAUUAAUAGGCUCACGAUUCGACUUUGAUCGUUAUGGGCUAGUACCAAGAUCUAGUCCUAGACAAGCGGACCUGAUUUUAACAGCCGGCACCGUAACCAUGAAAAUGGCUCCUUCUUUAGUGAGAUUAUAUGAACAAAUGCCUGAACCAAAAUAUGUUAUUGCUAUGGGGGCAUGUACAAUUACAGGGGGGAUGUUCAGUACCGAUUCUUAUAGUACUGUUCGGGGAGUUGAUAAGCUAAUUCCUGUAGAUGUCUAUUUGCCAGGCUGUCCACCUAAACCGGAGGCGGUUAUAGAUGCUAUAACAAAACUUCGUAAAAAAAUAUCUCGAGAAAUUUAUGAAGAUCGAAUUAGGUCUCAACCGGGGAAACGGUGUUUUACUACUAAUCACAAGUUUAAUAUUGAACGCACUACUCAUACUGGAAAUUAUGAUCAAGAAUUACUCUAUCAAUCGCCGUCUACUUCAAAGAUCCCUCCGGAAACAUUUUUCAAAUAUAAAAGGUCAGUAUCGUCCAACGAAUUAGUAAAUUAGAGGAAGGAUUCGUUUGUACAGAAUAACAAAGGGCAAGUCAAUCUUCAUAAAUUUCAUCGUGAAUGUGAAAUACUUAUAUUAUAAUUAUACAAAUAAAAAUGCGGGAGAGAGAAAAAAGAUGCAGGGUCGUUUGUCUGCUUGGCUAGUCAAACAUGGGCUAGUUCAUAGAUUUUUGGGUUUUGAUUACCAAGGAAUAGAGACUUUACAAAUAAAGCCCGAAGAUUGGCAUUCCAUUGCUGUCAUUUUAUAUGUAUAUGGUUACAAUUAUCUGCGUUCGCAAUGUGCCUAUGAUGUAGCACCGGGCGGGCUGUUAGCUAGUGUAUAUCAUCUUACGAGAAUAGAGUAUGAUAUAGAUCAACCAGAAGAAGUAUGUAUAAAAGUAUUUGCCCCAAGGAAGAAUCCUAGAAUUCCGUCUGUUUUCUGGGUUUGGAAAAGUGCGGAUUUUCAAGAAAGGGAAUCUUAUGAUAUGCUGGGAAUCUUUUAUGAUAAUCAUCCACGCUUGAAACGUAUCUUAAUGCCGGAAAGUUGGAUAGGGUGGCCCUUACGUAAGGAUUAUAUUGUUCCCAAUUUUUAUGAAAUACAAGAUGCUCAUUGAAUAAUAAGAAACUAAGCUUCAGUGUUACAACUCCAGAUAUUCAAGGAAUAUUUGUACGCUCUCUUAUAGAUCAACAGAGUUUUUGAAGUCUCAUUCAUAUUAUUAUGGAUAGACUAAAAAAAAAUAAUAAUAAUAAUAAUACAAUUAGGAAUUCAUUGAAUUCUCAAAUUUUGAAGAUAUUGAUUUCGGACGAGCCGAGCUAACUAAUAGGAUGAACUAAACGAAUUCUACAUCAUGAACUUUGUACCGCGCACAUCCCUUACUUAGAUGAGCUAUAUAAAGUCACAUAACAUAGGAGAGAAUGAAAAAAUAGAAUAUGAAAGAAAAUAAAGAAAUGAAAGAGGAUCAGAUUCUAUUUAUACUGUAUCUGAGACGAAUCUUGGAUAUUUACACCCUUCAACUCCUAUAGACUAGACUUUUAGGUUUUUUAACUAACUAAUUUAACUUUAACCUUUCGAAUCUAUAUGAAGUAUUAACAUUCUUUUUGACCGAGAGGAGACACACACAUUAUGAACAAAUCAAAUAAAAAAGAAGAGGAAACGAAACAUAAUCUAAUUUUUUUUUUUAUAUACUUUUUUAUAAUAGAAACUCUUUAUUUAUAACAUAAACUCUUUGCUCAUCUAAAAAGGUUCUAUCUACAGACAUCUAGAUGGAUAAGUUAAGUAUAUAUCAUGAUCUAUACUAUUAAUGAAUAUGCAUGUCGAUCUAUAUCAGAUCUAUAUCAAUUAAUUUAAUUAAGUUGUAGAAUAGAUACUCAUACACAAUGCCAGGAACCAGAUUUGAACUGGUGACACGAGGAUUUUCAGUCCUCUGCUCUACCAGCUGAGCUAUCCCGACCAUUUUCGACGCGUCAUCUUCCUCAUUUUACUAAACGACUUGGGUCUAUGUCAAUUAAAAAAAAGUAAAAAAAAGACGAAAAAGUAUUCUAAAAGCCUUAUCCAGACCUGGAAUGUUUUGUAUCUUUUUUUAAAAUAAAAAGAAAAAAAAAAAGACGACUUCGUAAAUUUCAGUUCGAAUAAUGAUUUUGAUUGUUAAUCAUUCCAAUUCCCAAUGUGGAUUCUUGUUUUGCUCAAAGAUGUUCGUUUGUAUGUGUAUCAUAUCUAUUCCAAGACUUGUGAAAAAAAAUCCAGCCUGGAUAUGUUUGUGAAAGAAUCGAAUGAAUGAGAAAGAUAAUGAGAUUUGAACCGUUAACGAAAAGAGAGAAUAGGAUAAAAAUAAUUAGGGAGUCGAGCGGGCCUUUUUUGGGGAUAGAGGGACUUGAACCCUCACGAUUUCUAAAGUCGACGGAUUUUCCUCUUACUAUAAAUUUCCUUGUUGUCGAUAUUGACAUGUAGAAUGGGACUCUAUCUUUAUUCUCGUCCGAUUAAUCAGUUAUCUAUCCGACUUUGGAAUGAAUGAUUUGAUCAAUUAAUAUUCAACCCUUUCUUCAACUUGGAAUCAAUUCAAAACAAUUUUGUUUUUAUUUCAUUUUUCAUAUAAAGAUAAAAAAAAUACGGAUUUGGGCUCCUAUUAAUCUUAAUUAAUCUUAAUCAUUUGAGAUAGUAUUUCAGUACGUAUACGUAUGUAUAUACGGUUAUCCUUUCUGAAGUUUUGACGGAAGGAUUUCUUUACUUUACUAAUGCAACGCAGUCAACUCCAUUUAUUAGAACAGCUUCCAUUGAGUCUCUGCACCUAUCCCCCCCUUUUUUUUUAUUCUGUCUUUACUUUGUUUGUUUUCGGAAAACAGGAUUUGGCUCAGGAUUGCCCAUUUUUAAUUCCGGGGUUUCUCUGAAUUUGAAAGUUAUCACUUAGUAAGUUUCCAUACCAAGGCUCAAUCCAAUUAAGUCCGUAGCGUCUACCAAUUUCGCCAUAUCCCCUCUUUUUUUGUUUUGAAAUUAAGAUCUUAUUA